rnacentral:rRNA from 1 species
UACGUAGGGGGCGAGCGUUGUCCGGAUUCAUUGGGCGUAAAGCGCUCGUAGGCGGUUCGGCAAGUCGGGUGUGAAAACUCCAGGCUCAACCUGGAGACGCCACCCGAUACUGCUGUGACUUGAGUCCGGUAGGGGACCACGGAAUUCCUGGUGUAGCGGUGAAAUGCGCAGAUAUCAGGAGGAACACCGGUGGCGAAGGCGGUGGUCUGGGCCGGCACUGACGCUGAGGAGCGAAAGCGUGGGGAGCGAACAGG